UAAGGAUCGAGGCAUAGCUAUUGUGUAUAGCUACCUAAGAACAAGAAUUGAUCCUCAGUAGCUGCUCAAACCUGCUAUAUACAUGUAAAGGAUGUUUUACCUUGGAAGAUAGCAAAUGCACAUGAAACCUGGUAGUGGUUAAUACAACUGCCCAAAGGAAUUGGGUCAAAAAGGAAUUUUGAAUUAUCUUGCUAACUCUUCUGGUCUGUUUAUUGACACAAUGAGUUACUAGCACUGUGCAUGGGUGGCUUAAAAUGACAUGCUAUAUGGCCCGUGGUUUCUCUAUCCAAUUCGUAAGGAAGCUGUUGAUAUUCUAAGCCCUGGUUAUAAGGAAAGCUUUGAACCGAUUGUAAGUUCAUUGUUAGAGGUACAGAGAACGAGAUGCACCUGGGGAGAUCGUUGCGAUUUGCAAUGACAAAAACAUUUGGCAAGUCCGCGACUGAUAUUAUAUUUGUUGCUCUUUCAGUACUUUUAAUCACCUUUUAGCUGUUUCAAGUGUCGGAACCAGGUGUUGGACCGAGCUAUGAGUAGCCAUGUUCUGUUGCUGAGGAUUCGUAAAGAGACGAGGUAAAGCUGUAUUUCGGCCGUAGUCUUUGACGUCUCUUUUCAUUUCUGUAUUGUUGCUUUCAUUCGGACAAUAUUUUAUUUUGUAUUCCAGACUUGUACUUCUGUUUUAGAGCUCACGACUCUGUAUUUACCAGUUCUGGGGGAUUUUAUAUAUUGACGCAAUUAUUUAUGUUA